AUUGCUUCUUACUGGUGAACUCUCUUUGAUUUAGUAUGGGGGAUGUUCAUGUUUCCGAAGCAUAAACUAACUCAUGUUAUAUCUUGCCAGUAUUAAACAGCAUGGUGUGUUCCAUAUGUUGCACUGUGUUACCUAUAAACUGGUAUACAU